GGGACUAUAGCUCAGCCGGUCAGAGCGCUUCGUUGACAUCGAAGAGGUCUUCAGUUCGAAUCUGAAUAGUCCCACCA
rnacentral:tRNA from 4 species